rnacentral:rRNA from 1 species
GACGUAGGGGCGAGCGUUGUCCGGAAUUACUGGGCGUAAAGAGCACGUAGGCGGGUAUUUAAGUCAGUUGUGAAAGACCGCAGCUUAACUGCGGGGUUGCAAAUGAAACUGGGUAUCUUGAGGGCAGGAGAGGUUAGUGGAAUUCCUGGUGUAGCGGUGAAAUGCGUAGAAAUCAGGAGGAACACCAGUGGCGAAGGCGCUUCUCUAGACUGUAACUGACGCUGAGGCUCGAAAGCGUGGGGAGCAAACAGGAUUAGAUACCCCGGUAGUCCCUGAG